GAGCGAUGAUGUAAACAUAAUAAACCUGAAUUGUAUUAAAUUAAAAUACAUUUCAUGAUGGUUUCUACACUUGAACUGAGCUCA
ensembl:snoRNA